CUGUAGUCCCAACUCUCAAGAGGCUGGGGCAGGAGGAUCAUUUGAGUCCAGGUGUUCAGAAUUACAAUGAGCCUCAUCAUCAGCCUGCAAAUUUUCUAGAAACAGCCAGUCCAUAUCAUUGGUUCUUUCUCUCAUUUUUAAUUUUAUCUACUUUAUUCCACUUAUAAUGAAGAGAUUUUCUAGCUAAAUCUUUCCAACUUAGCAAAUGAGAAAAAAGAAUUUUUUAAAAUUUACUUAUAAAUACAUAAACCAGUAAUAGGGUAACAUGUAUUAUGAUUAUAUUUGUAUGUUUUAUACUACUCCCUCACACAUGUGAUCCUGAUAUACCUACCUUCAACUCAGUUACUUUCAUUGAAAAUAAAUAAAAACUAUUCCAACACCAAUUUUCUUCAUAUGUAAAUCAGAAGGUCAAGAACAGAAAUUUUAGUGGCUUCAUAUUUCUAGAGGUUGUUUGAAUGUCAUGUUAAAAGAUUAUAUGACUUUAGUACUUUCAAAUCUGUGUCACCCAAUGUGACUAUAUAAGUAAAUAAUCCCUACAACAACAACUACAACAACAACAACAAUACAACAAAAAAGAACAGCAAGUAAUAAUUUCAGUAUAAUCGGGCUAGGCAAGGUUAGGUACAAUCUAACAUAUCUACUUGCAAUUUGUGAAAUUAUUUUACUUUAGACAAUGAGAUUUUGAUCUCAAAAUCAGUUUAAAUUUAGCGGGAAUUUUUUUCUUCUUUUUUUUCUUUUUUUUUUUUUGUUUUGAGUCUCGCUCUGUAACCCGGGCUGG
rnacentral:lncRNA from 1 species